rnacentral:rRNA from 1 species
UACGUAGGGUGCAAGCGUUGUCCGGAAUUAUUGGGCGUAAAGAGCUCGUAGGCGGUGUGUCGCGUCGGCCGUGAAAACCUGCAGCUUAACUGUGGGCUUGCGGUCGAUACGGGCAUCACUGGAGUUCGACAGGGGAGACUGGAAUUCCAGGUGUAGCGGUGAAAUGCGUAGAUAUCUGGAGGAAUACCGGUGGCGAAGGCGGCAUCCUGGACCGACAUUGACGCUGAUGAGCGAAAGCUAGGGGAGCAAACGGG